GAAUUAUUGGGCGUAAAGCGCGCGCAGGCGGUCCCUUAAGUCUGAUGUGAAAGCCCACGGCUCAACCGUGGAGGGUCAUUGGAAACUGGGGGACUUGAGUGGCAAAGAAGGAACUGUGGAUUUCCAGUGUAUACGGUGAAAUGCUGUGUAAGAUGUUGAGGAACACCAGUGGCGAAUGCGAGUUACUGGUCUGUAUCUGACGCUGAAGCGCGAAAGCGUGGGGAGCAAACAGGAUUAGAUACCCUGGUAGUCCACGCCGUAAACGAUGAGUGUUAAGUGUUAGGGGGUUUCCGCCCCCUUAGUGCUGCAGCUAACGCAUUAAGCACUCCGCCUGGGGAGUACGCCCGCAAGGCUGAAACUCAAAGGAAUUGACGGGGGCCCGCACAAGCGGUGGAGCAUGUGGUNUAAUUCGAAGCAACGCGAAGAACCUUACCAGGUCUUGACAUCCCGCUGCCCGCCUUAGAGAUAAGGCUUUCCCUUCGGGGACAGCGGUGACAGGUGGUGCAUGGUUGUCGUCAGCUCGUGUCGUGAGAUGUUGGGUUAAGUCCCGCAACGAACGCAACCCUUGAUCUUAGUUGCCAGCAUUCAGUUGGGCACUCUAAGGUGACUGCCGGUGACAAACCGGAGGAAGGUGGGGAUGACGUCAAAUCAUCAUGCCCCUUAUGACCUGGGCUACACACGUGCUACAAUGGACGGUACAAAGGGCUGCAACCCCGCGAGGGCAAGCCAAUCCCAGAAAACCGUUCUCAGUUCGGAUUGCAGGCUGCAACUCGCCUGCAUGAAGCCGGAAUCGCUAGUAAUCGCGGAUC
rnacentral:rRNA from 1 species